UCUUGUUAUUUUCUUUAUCAAUCCUUCUUCCUUCUGUGCAAAACCUAGAUCUAAAUCGAUUCUCCUUCGACGUCAUCCCUAUCUGCCGUCGAGCUUUCUACGGCCUCCGUUCACAUCUCUUUUUCUUUGGAUUGAGGUCUAAAGAAGCUCUAAUAGAUAGUAGAACCCGAAGCGAAGAAAUCCCAAAGAGAGCCGGAGGCCGAGCUUGACCGUGAACCCUCCAAACUUGUUGCUGGAACUUUUCGCCCUUGGCUGCUAACUAAACAUUCUUGUGCUAUUUUUUGGGGGUUUUGAGAUCAGAUGCUGUGAUAUCAGUGUGAAGGGUCCACGUUACAGCGAAGCUGGCGGCCUGUUAGAAGUUCUACCCGGUUUAGGGUGUCGUAGGGGAGGGAUUGACCUUUCUAACGCAUAUGCAGUCCUACCGGUAUGACCUCACUGAUUUGUUUGCUGAUCUUGAUCGUGGUCUUUAAUUAGCUUUUUUGUUGAUGUGCUGAAAAAUUUUACUCUUUUGGGUUGUUUUUGGUGCGAAAUAUGGGACUUUCACUUCAUUUAAAUUUUGGAAGACAAUUUUUAGUACUUGUUUAUUAAAAAAGGUGUUGCUUUGAAUAAGAGUUAUUGAGUGUAGAAUUAAAGAUUCGAAA